AGCGAACGCUGGCGGCAGGCUUAACACAUGCAAGUCGAGCGGGCAUCCUUGUGGUGUCCGCGGCAGACGGGUGAGUAACGCGUGGGAACGUUCCCUUCGUGUCGGAAUAACUCGGGGAAAGUUGAGCUAAUACCGGAUACGCCCCUUUGGGGAAAGGUUUACUGCCGAAGGAUCGGCCCGCGUCUGAUUAGCUGGUUGGUGUGGGUAUGGCUCACCGAGGCGACGAUCAGAAGCUGGUCUGAGAGGAUGAUCAGCCACACUGGGACUGGGACACGGCCCAGACUCCUACGGGAGGCAGCAGUGGGGAAUAUUGGACAAUGGGGGCAACCCUGAUCCAGCCAUGCCGCGUGAGUGAUGACGGCCUUAGGGUUGUAAAGCUCUUUUCUCCGGGACGAUAAUGACGGUACCGGAGGAAUAAGCCCCGGCUAACUUCGUG
rnacentral:rRNA from 1 species